UCGGUAAAAGAUGGGCCCGCAUCUGAUUAGCUAGUUGGUGAGAUAAUAGCCCACCAAGGCAACGAUCAGUAGCCGACCUGAGAGGGUGACCGGCCACAUUGGGACUGAGACACGGCCCAAACUCCUACGGGAGGCAGCAGUGGGGAAUAUUGCACAAUGGGCGAAAGCCUGAUGCAGCAACGCCGCGUGAAGGAAGACGGUUUUCGGAUUGUAAACUUCUAUCAAUAGGGAAGAAAGAAAUGACGGUACCUAAAUAAGAAGCCCCGGCUAACUACGUGCCAGCAGCCGCGGUAAUACGUAGGGGGCAAGCGUUAUCCGGAAUUACUGGGUGUAAAGGGAGAGUAGGCGGCAAGGUAAGCGAUAUGUGAAAGCCUUAAGCUUAACCAAAGGAUUGCAUAACGAACUAUCUAGCUAGAGUACAGGAGAGGAAAGCGGAAUUCCUAGUGUAGCGGUGAAAUGCGUAGAUAUUAGGAAGAACACCAGUGGCGAAGGCGGCUUUCUGGACUGAAACUGACGCUGAGGCUCGAAAGCGUGGGGAGCGAACAGGAUUAGAUACCCUGGUAGUCCACGCUGUAAACGAUGAGUGCUAGGUGUCGGGGAGGAAUUCCCG
rnacentral:rRNA from 1 species